rnacentral:rRNA from 1 species
CAGAGGUCCCGAGCGUUGUUCGGAUUUAUUGGGCGUAAAGGGCGCGUAGGUGGUUCGGUAAGUCGGAUGUGAAAUCCCAAAGCUUAACUUUGGAAUUGCAUCGAAAACUGCCGGGCUAGAGUCUAGGAGGGGGGAGUGGAAUUCUUGGUGUAGCAGUGAAAUGCGUAGAUAUCAAGAGGAACACCGGCGGCGAAGGCGACUCCCUGGACUAGUACUGACACUGAGGCGCGAAAGCUAGGGGAGCAAACGGGAUUAGAUACCCCGGUAGUCCUAGCCGUAAACUGCGUGCACUUGCUGUUAGAGGAUUCGACCCCUUUAGCGGCAAAGCUAACGCAUUAAGUGCACCGCCUGGGAAGUACGGUCGCAAGACUA